rnacentral:misc_RNA from 1 species
UUGAAAUGCAGGUGCAGCUAUAGAUUCUUUCUUCUGACCUAUAAGCAUACCUAUUUGAUCCCGUCAAACGGGCUAUUUCUUUUGCUGCAGCUAGCAUAAAGGUUGAAGAGUCGCGAUGGCUGAUUGAUAGGAUUUAACAUGUCGCGCAAGCGAUCUGUAAACUCGAUCUCAAACCAAGCAAGACUACCCGCUGAACUCAA